rnacentral:rRNA from 1 species
UCCGUUGGUGAACCAGCGGAGGGAUCAUUAUCGAGUUAUUCAACUCCCAAACCCUAUGUGAACUUACCACUUGUUGCUUCGGCGCGCGCUUCGGCGCCGCCGAGGACACUUAAACUCUUUGUUUUUAUAAGCAUUUCUGAGUGGCCGAAAGGCAAAAAUACAAAUGAAUCAAAACUUUCAACAACGGAUCUCUUGGUUCUGGCAUCGAUGAAGAACGCAGCGAAAUGCGAUAAGUAAUGUGAAUUGCAGAAUUCAGUGAAUCAUCGAAUCUUUGAACGCACAUUGCGCCCGCCAGCAUUCUGGCGGGCAUGCCUGUUCGAGCGUCAUUUCAACCCUCGAGCCCGACUCUUUUGAGGACGGCUCGGCGUUGGGGGACGGCAGACUCCCCCCGGCAUCUCGCCGGGGACGCCGCCCCCGAAAUCUAGUGGCGGCCCUCCGAGGCGACCUCUGCGUAGUAACUUGUUCUCGCACCGGAAAGCUCAGAGCGGCCACGCCGUAAAACCCCAACUUUUUUCAGGUUGACCUCGAAUCAGGUAGGACUACCCGCUGAACUUAAGCAUAUCAAUAAGCGGAGGAA